UCAUAAAAACCUGGGACGGAAACGAUUCGUUUCCUCUAUGUAUUAAUCGGAUUUUUGAACUUGGAGUAUGGUGCUGGAGCUUGCUCCACCCUGCUCACGGGUUGUCCUGGUAUUGCAGUACCUCCAGGUUCGGCUCACGUUUC
rnacentral:snRNA from 1 species